GAGCUAUUGCAUAAUACUAAAAAAAAAAUUUAAAAUUUUGAAAUAAAAGAUUUAAGUGAGGCCUCAUAUAUUUUUGGUAUUGAAAUUAAAGGGGAUAGAUAUAAUGGUUUAUUCAGUCUAAUUCGAAAGGCCCACAGAGAAAAUUUUAAAAAAAUUUUAAAUACAUAAGCUUAAAUCCAGUGUUGCUCCUAUUCAGAAAGGGGAUAAGCUUAAUACUUUUCAAUAUCCCAAGAAUCAAUUA
rnacentral:lncRNA from 1 species